rnacentral:lncRNA from 1 species
AGGAGAGGGUUUUAUCUAGAGAGUAAGUGAAUCUCGAUCCCCUCAGAUCCCUCUUCAUGGCCGAUAUAGCCAUGUUUUCAUUGAGGUCCCUAACCUCAAGUAUGGCUGCAUUAAAGCAAGCCAUAAAAUCUCUCAAUAUCUCUGUCCCACCUUGUUUGAUUGAGAAGAGACUGUCAGAAAUCCGUGACAAUUUUCGGCUUGUGCUGAAGUGGGCC